rnacentral:lncRNA from 1 species
GUUUAUACCAGUAUCUCCACGAAUGUGAGUAAUGCAUUGCUAUGACAGUGCAGUGGUGACUUCUAUGGUAUCACUAGGUGACAAGAAUUUUUUGGCUGUAUUCUAAUCUUAUAAGACCACCAUUGUUGGUAGAAAUGUCAUUAUGUGGUACACGAUUAUAUUAAUCUAGGAUUCCAGGGAGAGAAAUCUAGAAGUUUUUUUAUUAUGUAGGUAUUACUUAAAAAUAGAAAACUGGGAAGAGAUCAAGGGAGUGAAAAUAAAUAGAAAAAAAGGAGAGGAUCAGGGACUGAGCCCUAGGCAUUCCCAUUUUAAGACAAGGAGAAGAGGAAAGGCUAAUAAAAUAGACUGAGAAGGAGCAGCCAAUGAGGAAAUAAGAAACUGGAGAGUGUGGUGUCCUGAUUGCCAAGUAAAGUGGACAGAAGAAUGACUCAUCCAGCUGUACUCAGUGCUGUUGAUAAAUAAUAUAAAGGAUUAAGAAUUGGCCAUUGGGCCUGGGGUUGUGGCUCAGUAGUAGAGUACUUGCCUAGCACAUGUGAAGCGCUAGGUUCAAAUCCUCAGCACCACAUAGAAGAAGUUAGUCCAAUGGCCCAUUCUUUUUUUUUCCUUCAUGACUUAAGAUGUCCUUGGUUACUUUAAUGUGAGCUGUUCUGGUGGAGUAAUGAGACCCUGAUUCAAUCAGGCAAGGAGAAGAAUGGGAGGCAGUGAAUAUUGUGCUUGUUGAGUUUUGCUAUGAAGUGGAACAGAAAUGGAGCAGUAACUAGUGGGGAAUAUGGAGUCUAGAAGUUUUCUUUUUUCCUUAAAGUGGGAGAAUAAAAGCAUGCUUAUAUAUUGUAUUAGUAAGGCAGGAAUGUGAGAAUUGCAGGAGAAAGAGAAGGAAGCAUUGUUGGAACAAUAAGCUAAAAUAAAUUUAGGCCUUUUCUUAUUCCUUUACUUCAUUUUAGUAGUAUUUGCAGGAGGCAUGUUCUGUUAUUUUAACCUUUUAACCAG